UGUUUACCUUUCAAUUUCCUUACAAGUCGUCGUCUUUUUUAAGAAUUUAUUUUAUUCCACAAGUUUUUUUAACAUGUUUUAAAAUUAUAUAAUAUAAAUUAAAUUCUUCGUAAAUAGUAUAAAUUUAGUGCACGAGUUAUGGAACAAAUUGAUGAGGCCAAACGUAAACCCAGACGCACUAAAGGCACACCAUCUUACCACUAUAGAAAUCGUUUUGCAGCAGCAGGUAUUGCAGUGGGAAGUGCUAUAUUUGCCUUGUGGUAUUUCACACCCAUUUUCCGCAUAGCGAAUGACAAAUUAAUGCACGAUUUGAUAACCGCCUCUGAGGAAGAAAAGGAUCGUAAACUUAUUUUCAAUUUAGUGGGUGCUCCUCGUACAUCGAGAGCUAUUAAGGAAACAAUAGAGGAGAAAAAACAAUUAUUACACGAACGUUAGAAUGGAUCGUCAAACCCGUAAAGCCAACCUAAAGAAAUUGCAAUUACCCAGUACAUCGGGCAGCAAACAAUCACGUAAAACACGCCAAACAUCCAAAACCUCAGGAAAUACUGCCAUUACCAAUUAUUUUUUAACACCCGAAAAAUGUUCAAAAGAUCAUGCAAAAGAAGAUACCACAGUCCCGCCUAAGGAUUCCGUAGUAGUAUUAGAUUUUAAU
rnacentral:misc_RNA from 1 species